rnacentral:piRNA from 1 species
UGAAAGACAGCAUCAAAUCACAUGGC